rnacentral:lncRNA from 1 species
AAGAGAGGGAGCAAGCUAGGUGAGGUGUAAAGAAGCCUGUUCGAGGUAGAGGGAACAGCAGGAGCCUAGGCCUUGGGCUGGAACGUCCCUGGCAAGUUGAAGAUCAAGGCCAGAGCGGCUGGCCAGUGAGAGCGAGGAGAACGUUGACUAGAGCUUGAGGCUGAGUGUGCCAUUCAAAUUAGGAGAAUUGGAGACAAACUGAAUUUCCGGCAGAAACUUCUGAAUCUCAUAGCCAAACUCUUCCGCUCAGGAACCUGACUGCUCCAGGAGCCUCUGGAUGAGGAGACCCCCUUAAAAUGGAAGGUGUUGAUCCCCAUCAAUUAGAGGAGAGACUGUCUUGACGUGGAGAGCAAUGUGAAGGCACUCUUGUUCGCUUUUGGAUGCCCUUGGAAACGAAGAUAGAAUACGUCAAAAAUGAAUUUCUGUUGGAGGUUUCCCAGAAGUCAUUCUUUGGGAUAUGAGAACAUUGUAAAACCACUUUGUUUAUUUUAAAACAAGAAUGGAGGAACUUUGAAAAUAGGGAAUUAAGUAUGUAUACAUUUUGUUUUGCUUAGGGAAUCGUUGUAGUAUUUUUGCUGAAAGUUGCUGCUCAGCCUAGCAUAAAGAGGAGUUGACAAAUGGUUAGACUUGGUGGGGUCAGCAAACGGAGGAUGUUCAGUGUUUGCUUCUACUUUUGGAUGACGACUCCAGAACAGUGUAUAUUUGGUUUAUAUAUAUAAUUUUUUUAAAAGUAAAAGUUUCCUUCUGAGAACACUGAAUGUCAUAGUGAAUGUCGAUUUUAUAGGUCACUACAAAUUAUAAAAUAACCUGGUAGUUUGUUUCUUUUGACUCAAAAUGUAUUGCUUCUGUUCAGAGGACCUUUCAUUAAAUGUGUUCCUGUGGGCCACAACUGGAAAGUGUCUACUUUGAAAAAACUCGAUAGACGUAUAGGAAUGUUACUUGGUGCCAGUAAAAUUCUUGCAGGUUGAAUAUUGAAGGAUAAAGAGUAUGGGGAUUUUUGCACAACCAGGAAUAAUGAAAAAAAAAUGAAUUCGAUUUUUUACUGUUGUAAUUAAAACUUUGCAAAACAAAUGUUCUAUAGUAACUGUUGGUAAGGAGAUGAACGUGUUUCCUACAGAAGUUUUUAAAAUCUAUAAAAUGCCCUUUCUCAUGCUAGUCAACUAGUAAGCAGCCUAUAUAAAGUGAUCUUUUAGGAGAAAUUAAGCAUGUUUCAUAAUUGGGAUUUACUUUUUUUUUUUUUAAAAAAGGAACAGAUUGCUCAUCCAGAAUGAAAAUCCAUUUACAUACAUGAAUAUAUAUACACAUAUAUAAUUUGCAUUAGAGUAAUAUUAAUAUGUAGAGUCUGAGAAGAGUUUCACGUAUUUCAUUUUUUAAAAAUUAUUAAGAGGCCAGGCUAUCAAAAAAGUCCCCAAAUAUAUGAAAAAGAAGUAAUAAUGUCAUGAUUAAAUUUCAGCAGGAAUAAUUUUAUUUAUUUUACCUAUUUAUAAUUAAAAUAUUUUUUGUUUAGUUUAAAAUGUCUGUUAGUGAAAAGUUCAGUUUUGGGUUAUGAGACUAGGGUUUCAUAACUACUUGAACUCUUACAGUAAGAAUGUUUUAAUAUAGGCUGUAGUCACUUUAGACGAAAAAUUACCUCAGCAUCUGUUUUCCUUCAGUAUUACUUAAAGCUGUUAGUUUAUUUAGUUGCAAAGUUUUUGUUUUUUUUGCUCUCUCUGCCUAGAGGCAGAUACUUUGCUAUAUGGAUAUUUAUGGCCUGUAACUCUAUUUAUACAUAUAUAUUCAUUAAACCUGAUACUGUAGCUGUAAACUAUUAAAAAUUAUUACCACUCUU